rnacentral:rRNA from 1 species
AGAGUUUGAUCCUGGCUCAGAACGAACGCUGGCGGCAGGCCUCAAACAUGCAAGUCUAGGGGGUGUAGCAAUACAUCACCGGCGGACGGGUGCGUAACACGUGGGAAUAUACCUUUUGGUUCGGAACAACGCAGGGAAACUUGCGCUAAUACCGAAUGUGCCCUUACGGGGAAAGAUUUAUCGCCAAAGGAUUAGCCCGCGUCGGAUUAGCUAGUUGGUGAGGUAAUGGCUCACCAAGGCUCCGAUCGUUAGCUGUUCUGAGAGGAAGAUCAGCCACACUGGGACUGAGACACGGCCCAGACUCCUACGGGAGGCAGCAGUUGGGAAUCUUGGACAAUGGGGGAAACCCUGAUCCGAGCCAUGCCGCGUGAGUGAUGAAGGCCUUCGGGUUGUAAA